rnacentral:rRNA from 1 species
UACGAAGGGGGCUAGCGUUGCUCGGAAUCACUGGGCGUAAAGGGUGCGUAGGCGGGUCUUUUAAGUCAGGGGUGAAAUCCUGGAGCUCAACUCCAGAACUGCCUUUGAUACUGAGGAUCUUGAGUUCGGGAGAGGUGAGUGGAACUGCGAGUGUAGAGGUGAAAUUCGUAGAUAUCAGGAGGAACACCGGUGGCGAAAGCGGCUUCCUGGCCCGACAUUGACGCUCAUGUACGAGAGCGUGGGGAGCAAACAGG